AUGCGCCGCUACCAUGCAGUCGAACGAGCGAGAGAGAGCUUGCUUUCUCGAGCGAGUGGCGAACGGGUGAGUAACGCGUGAGGAACCUGCCUCAAAGAGGGGGACAACAGUUGGAAACGACUGCUAAUACCGCAUAAGCCCACAAGUCGGCAUCGACCAUGAGGGAAAAGGAGCAAUCCGCUUUGAGAUGGCCUCGCGUCCGAUUAGCUAGUUGGUGAGGUAACGGCCCACCAAGGCGACGAUCGGUAGCCGGACUGAGAGGUUGAACGGCCACAUUGGGACUGAGACACGGCCCAGACUCCUACGGGAGGCAGCAGUGGGGAAUAUUGCACAAUGGGGGAAACCCUGAUGCAGCGACGCCGCGUGGAGGAAGAAGGUCUUCGGAUUGUAAACUCCUGUUGUUGAGGAAGAUAAUGACGGUACUCAACAAGGAAGUGACGGCUAACUACGUGCCAGCAGCCGCGGUAAAACGUAGGUCACAAGCGUUGUCCGGAAUUACUGGGUGUAAAGGGAGCGCAGGCGGGAAGACAAGUUGGAAGUGAAAUCUAUGGGCUCAACCCAUAAACUGCUUUCAAAACUGUUUUUCUUGAGUAGUGCAGAGGUAGGCGGAAUUCCCGGUGUAGCGGUGGAAUGCGUAGAUAUCGGGAGGAACACCAGUGGCGAAGGCGGCCUACUGGGCACCAACUGACGCUGAGGCUCGAAAGUGUGGGUAGCAAACAGGAUUAGAUACCCUGGUAGUCCACACCGUAAACGAUGAUUACUAGGUGUUGGAGGAUUGACCCCUUCAGUGCCGCA
rnacentral:rRNA from 1 species